CAGAAAUAUUUAUUUCGAUAGAGAAUCGAGUUUGACGAUGGAAAUAAACAUUUAAACCGUACAAAAACAGCAGUGAAUUGGCAGGCAAGAGGCAAAAGCACGACUGUUGGUGAAAAGUAGCGAGUGUAAAUAAGAGAAGGAAGAAGAUAGGUUAGCGACGGAAGAAGAGAGAGGAGCGCCUUCGUGCUCACGCAAGGAACGAGUUAUAGCGACAAAAAAGAAAGAGGAAAAGUAUGUCUCGAGCGAAAAAUUAGAUGCAGCUGGUAAAGGACAAAAGGACGUUCUGCAAAGGAGUGCUGUGCGUGACGAAUGCUAACCUUUUGGCGGAUUUCGAGAGGUACCGUUACAUGAAAAGAGCAAUAUCUUCGCUGCCAUUUGAUUUUAAUCGUACAAAUCCUACGAUGUAUUGCACAUAUGUAUGAAAUAAGAAGGGAGAAAGUCGUCACCCCAUCGCCAGUUGUCAAAAGAAGAAGCAAAUAUCCCGGGUAAUGAACGUCCCUCGAAAAUGAAACAUCGAGGCUGAUUAUAACCCUAACCUCUGGCGUCGACCAGUAUCGAGGAGGCAAUCAUUUAUGGAUUACUGUCGGUUUCUCCUUGUCGAUCGCACGUCUUCAUUAAGCACAAGUUGAAAAGCAUCAGCAAUUGGCAGAAGAGCCUCUUGUCUCUUAUA